UAACACGUGAGCAACCUGCCCUAGGCUUUGGGAUAACCCUCGGAAACGGGGGCUAAUACCGAAUAUGACCUCGCAUCGCAUGGUGUGUGGUGGAAAGUUUUUCGGCCUGGGAUGGGCUCGCGGCCUAUCAGCUUGUUGGUGGGGUGAUGGCCUACCAAGGCGACGACGGGUAGCCGGCCUGAGAGGGCGACCGGCCACACUGGGACUGAGACACGGCCCAGACUCCUACGGGAGGCAGCAGUGGGGAAUAUUGCACAAUGGGCGGAAGCCUGAUGCAGCGACGCCGCGUGAGGGAUGACGGCCUUCGGGUUGUAAACCUCUUUCAGCAGGGACGAAGCGUAAGUGACGGUACCUGCAGAAGAAGCGCCGGCCAACUACGUGCCAGCAGCCGCGGUAAGACGUAGGGCGCGAGCGUUGUCCGGAUUUAUUGGGCGUAAAGAGCUCGUAGGCGGCUUGUCGCGUCGACCGUGAAAACCUGGG
rnacentral:rRNA from 1 species